CUCCAUGAAAGCUUGGAUGAAUGCUGUCUUCUUUCUUUAUCCAUAAAUAUAAAGAAAUAAUUUUUAUCUAUUUAUAAAUAAUUUUUUUAUCCUUAAUUUUAUAUCAAUAUGUAAAAAUUUGAAUCAAUAGUUGGGAACAUAUAAAGAAAGGAACAGAAAGAUACAGCUGAAAAUAUAAUACAUCGAGGCACCCAAUCCCUAUUAAAAAAUUAUUACCAUUGCAGAUACAUUCAUACAAUCAGCCAUCACAGAUACAUCCAUUAUAUAGGUAUUUCUAGUCCAUAACUAUCCAUCAUGUAAUUUAUAACAAUUUUAUAAAGCAUGAUAAUAAACUAUCUAUGUUAUUAUUAUUAUGAUAUCAUUCAUGCACAUGUCACUUAAGAUAUUUAAAUUCAUGGGCACAUGACCCACUAAGAUUUUUUAUUAGAAUUCAACUCUUGAUCCAAAUUCAAUUAUGAGUCAACCAUAUAUCACCCUUUUGAGUUAAGUUAACUAAUUCUUGAACAAACCCUAAUCUAAUUAGGUUCACAAAGAUUCGAUCAACUAUGACUCAAGUCCUAA
rnacentral:lncRNA from 1 species